AGCGUACAGUUUCGGCUUCCUGUUGUUGACGGAACCUGGAGCUGCUGUGUUCACCUAUGUCGCCCCAAAUUCACCGUUCUAACUUCUGUCCUCAGAUCCUCGUAGAAAUGAUGUGUCCCUGAUACGCAGCCUAAACAAGUGACCGGGCAGCAGCUGCUCUCAACCACUGCCUGUGACUGGGUUUCCACAGCGCCUGUGCAGACACGGUGACCCCUCACCUCUCACGCUGAACAUUCCAUGCUGAGCGUUCCGGGCACAGUGGUGGGUGGUCUGCAAUGAUGUCAUGUCGAUGGGAUCUGCCCCUGACGUCAUGCAGCCCUGCAGCUGCGCCCUUCCACCGUGGACUGCGGGUGUCUAGACAGAUGAUGAUGGAAGUUUCCGCAGACCAGCUGAGGCCAGAUGUGCGCCCAGGCAUCACUUGAGCGCGGGGAGGCGGGCGAGGCUGCGCUGGGUUCCCUGAUCAGAGAGACGAAGAAAGAACCUGAAAGCCACCAGAGAAUCGAUCUUUCAUGCCUGGAGCAGCGGUGUUAUGUUCACAGCUCUUCAGCUGCUCCCAGAGCCGCCUGGAAUGGAGUGGGAACCCACUCAAAGUGGGAGAGCCUCUGAGCCACGGGGCAGAAAUCAUUCUUGGAGGAUUGACUGGAGGAAAGAAUUUCACUUAAAAUCAGGUGAGAUGCUCAACACGAAGGGCCCUGUUCUUGGCCCCAAGAUGCACACCGCCCACCACCAGGCAGAGCAGUUUUGUAGAUGUCCAUCGUCAGGAUAAAGUAGGAAGAGAGAAAUGCAAACCGAUCCUAACCCAAAAAGACAGGCACAGGGGAGGCCCCACUGCACGGGGACACCUAGCUCCAUGGCCCAGGCCUGGGGCCAGCACAGGCUCCCUGGACGGGGCGUGAGAUGGGCACGGCCAGCCCCUGCCCAGCCGCCGUGAGCCCCGGCCUGUCCACCAGAGGGCAGUGGUGCAUAACCGCCGGGUCCCAGUGGGUAGGGCCGUGGGCUGUGGCCUAGGGAGCCCUUUAAGCUGCCGACACCAUGACAUGUUUGUGGUAGGGAGGCCAGGACCGUGUGGAAAUGAGGCUCCCUGCAGAUCUGCCCGGGAUCAGGGGUGAUGUUUGGAGACACUCCGUGGAGUCGUAGCUCCAUUUGGUGGAUAGAACAACCGAAGGCCAGUGCAGGAGCCGCCCUGGCCUUGACCCUACAGCAGGCCCGAGUCCUCGAUCCUGCUCCUCUGGGGGUCCUUCAGCUCGGACACCCUGUUGGGAGUCUGGCAGGACUUGCCACCCAUGGGAGAGGUUUCCUCUGGCCAACUGAGCGGUGCGUCCAGGCCAGCUCGUGGGCACCGGGGAGACGAUGUCCUCGGUGGAGGAGGCAGCUGC